AACGCACGAGACCUGCGGACCUGCGGAGGGAUCAUUACCGAGUUUACAACUCCCAAACCCCUGUGAACAUACCACUUGUUGCCUCGGCGGAUCAGCCCGCUCCCGGUAAAACGGGACGGCCCGCCAGAGGACCCCUAAACUCUGUUUCUAUAUGUAACUUCUGAGUAAAACCAUAAAUAAAUCAAAACUUUUAGCAAUGGAUCUCU
rnacentral:misc_RNA from 1 species